AUGCAGGUACAGUUAUAAUAUAACUGAAGUCUUUUAUUGUCAUUUCCCCUGCUUAAAGCAUUUGAUACAUUACUAUCUCUGUCUAGUUCAUUCCAUGAUAAGACAGAGGUGCUUGGUGACAAACAU
rnacentral:snoRNA from 1 species